CCAUGGGCUUGGAAAGGUUGAGGCCGACCAACUAACCAGAACAGAGACAAACCCAGGCAGAAACAGAAGGUGGAUAAGGCUCAGUCCAGAAUGCAGCCGGAGCAGAACGACUUCCUGGGGAGCGUGGAAAGGAGCCAUCCCUGAAGCAGGAUUGCCUCUGAGCUGGCAGCAGACGAGUGAUUGGCAUUGGGCAGCGCUGCUGAGACUCUGGCAGGCCGUUUAGCAGAGAACCUUGGCUAAUGAAUGUCAUCCACACCUAGCAGAUGUGCCACUGCCUGCCAUGCCAGAUUUUUGACAUA